GAAAAUUGGCUCAAGGAUUUUAUAUGCUCAGAAUGCCAAGAGGUCUGCCUUUUUCUUUUUGAAAUACUACUACAAGAAUAACUAUGUUUGGUUAUUGUUCUAUAGGAAACUAGAAACUUUUGUACCGAUUCAAGCUACUCAUAUCUUUGCUAUUUGAAGAUUUUGGCAAUAAAUUCAUAAACACUAACAAUAAUAUAUGCAUGGUUUGGAAG
rnacentral:lncRNA from 1 species